ensembl:snoRNA SNORD39 Small nucleolar RNA SNORD55/SNORD39
AGUGCUACGACACACGUUCGACGGAGCUGCAAAGCGUGAUCCUCCAUUGGGGAAUCAAACCUUGCAGAGCUGAGCGCACU